CUCAGGCUCAGCUCUUGGUGAUGGAGAUGCAAGAAUGGGCAAGAUCCAUAAGGAUCAGGCGCUCCAUGGGACUCAGCUGGGGACAGGAAGACAAAUGAGCAAAGUGAUUUCAGGGAGCUCACAGAGAACCAGCUGGGUUGUGUUGGAAUGAUCUGCCUUCCUACAUCUGCUCUCUGUACCGGAAUGCCAGUUCUUUGAGGACAGAGGCUACAUCUUGUUUAUCUUAUACUCUGAUAUUUAACCCAUCUGGCCCCCAGAGAGUGUUCAAUAGUACUUUACUGGCAUGACCUGUCAGGUGGCUACAAUCAUUAGUGCUGAUUCAGUGGUAAGUGGAGGCUUGUAGGUCAGUGGAUCUGUCUGAGCUCUGUGGCUCACUUAGAAACCCUUCCUCUCAAAUGCUAUCCUACUGUCUCCUGUGGAUCACUAUGACCACAGGGCACUUUGGGAAACAGAGAAGCUCACCAGAGCAAAGAGCCCAGGAGACACCUGGCUCCUGAUGCAGAGGAGUCUUGUUCUCACCAGAGUGAAGACAGUGGAAGCCAGCACCUGUAUGCCAACUACAGUUUUGCUCGGAGUUGUUUCAGUGAGUGGUAUAUAGAAUAGAGGGGCAUUUCAACUCAAUCUUGACAGGUCCUCAUUGCCUAAGCAUGACCAACAUCAGCAACUUGGAAAAAAUCCUGCAAGAAUAGAGAUGCACUCUUGUCAGAACUCAGAACCAGGUGGCGGUGGAAGCAGCAAGACAACUGCUAUGAUGUGUAUUUAUGUUGUCUUUUCUUUUUUCUAGAGAGGCAACCUCUCUGUAACUUAUUUCUAUAACACAUAGCUACCCUCAACACUCAUUCUGACCAGAUUAUCUUUGUAAAAUUAUUUGUAAGAGUGGAAAAUCCUAGGAUGAUUUGUUUCAUCCCAUAUUCCUGAAAUAUGGCCCUGAACAGACACCCAAAGUAUAAUAUAUGAGAACUACCAGUAACUUCAGUAUCAGGAAUUAAAUCUGUAAGAGUGGUUGCCAGCCAUUUUGGGGACUCAUAGAUAAAGAAGGGCAGAAAUUACAGAAAAUUCAGCAGAGAGCCACAAUAGCCUUGGAAUAUUUCAUUAGGAGAUUGCAGAGCUGAUUCCAUAAUUAUUAUCAGUGUAUGAGCAUUUCUUAUAUGAAAGACAGUGAUAAAUUCCCCCUACCUCUAGUGAACGUCAGAGAAGCAGAAAUGAGUCUUUAGCAUCGUGUGAAGGAUUUAGGCUAGAUAAUAAGAAAAGUUAUUAACUACCUUAGUGAGUUCAAGUGAGUCUGAGAAAUCUUCUUCUCGGAAAGUCUUUAAAAAUGAUAGAGAUUUUCCUAUCAAGAAAGGAUUAAGUGUGGGCCUGCCUAAUGUAGAAGAAUAAACAAAAUAGUCUGUCAGAGUUUCUGCCAGCCCUCGGGGACUAUGACACUAUUUAUAUAUUUGGGAGCACAUAAAAUUGAUUUUUAUUUUACAUUUUCCUUUGAGAAACAAAGAAAAAUAGCCAUCUUUUUAAAGUUCAAGCUUAAUUUUCAGAGGGUUAUGGAAUGACGUGUUGCUGUGGGGUGGAAGGGGAACGUCAGAGAGCAGGCACUGAACUGUGGCCAAGUUGACUUCCGUUAUUUUUCCAAAUUGCAUUUUUGCUGCUUUCCCCCAAAACUUUAAAAUGGAUUCAUUUAGUUUAGUAAAUUUCUUAGCUGGGAUUUUCAGCCCUAUUUGUGUUUCGAGGGAUUAUACCAAAUAUACCUGACCUGCGACGCCAGGUAACCUCAGGCCUGUGCUGAUCCUUGCUCAUUCUUAACUGUUACCAGCAUUUGGAUGGAAGCUCCUUCUGCUUCCUGCACAUUCGUGUGCUUAGCAUAGUCUGUUAAUAUCUCCUCUAGAGAGAACAGCCCUUUCCAUGUAAAUUGGCAGUUCAGGGAAUAGUUGGGUGCUUACAAUGUCAAUGAAAGUCACACAAAUCAAUUGGCAAAAAUUAUUUUCUGCGAUUAUAUUGUUUUUGCAGUUACAUUUUUAAUUUUGACAGUUUAAGUGUGUUGAGAGUUCACGAUAGUUAAAGGCCAAGUGGAAUGUGGGGCAGGUCACUGCUGAGAUUCCCACUGCUUAGCUAAUGAGGUUUUCUUUGGAUUUUCAGUGUCAUUUAAUCUCAUUAACAUUGAAGAGAAAUAUUUUAGAACAAAAUAAAUGAACAAAUAUUUAUUGGGUGCCUCUGAUGUGCAAGGUGUGUAUUCGGUAGAGUGGGGCAUAAAACCUUGCUUUCAAGAGCCUCGCUAAUUGAGAAGUGAGUAGUAAUAAAAUGAGGGUAGAGAUCUUCUAGGAGAAGGUGCCACACAGUGGGGCAUAAUUAAUUCUUAAUGAAUUACACAGGUGAAGAGUCCUUGAUUUUGGAGAGAGAAUUGCAGGCCAUAUGAGGACCCUUUCUUUCCAGUGGGUGGAUCCGAGUCAGCUUCAAGGUCUUGGCAAAACAGAGAAGGGGUCUUGGGGAGGGGGAUUAAAAUAAUGUGGGUAGACAGUGCGUGGGAGAAAGCAAAAGGUGUGUUCAGGAAUCAGUGAGUACAACUCUGUUGGGAAGGAGACUGAGCAGAACACUGGGAAGUGUUUGGAAAUCAGUUCUCAGUUUGUACCAAGUGUGUUCAUUUUAUAUUGCUGUGUGACAAAUUACCACAAAUGUAAGAUCUGGAAAUUCUACUCGAUUAUUACCUCAUUGUUCUGUAGAUCAAACAUCUGGGUGGGUAUAACAGGGUUAUUGGCAUGGGAUUUCCCAGGUAAAAAUCAAGGGGUCAGCUGGGUUAGGAUGGAGGUUCUGAAAAGAAUCAAUUUCCAUCUCAUUCUGAUUGAUGGUAGUACUGUGGUCCUUGCAGUUCUAGAUUUCUGGCUCACUGUUGGCCAAGAAAUACUGUCAGCUCCUAGUGGGCACAUUCAAGUCCUGGCCAUAUGGUUCCCUCCAUCUCUGUAACACAGGACCUUCCUCAUGUUGAGGCCCUCUGGCUUGGCUGGACUUCUCAGAUGUCCUCUUCUGCCACCAGCUGAUGAAAACUCUUUUGAAAGGUCUCAAGUGAUUAGCUGAGGGUCGCUCACACCUCUCUUUUGAUUUAUUCAGGGUCAACUGACACGUAGUCUUAAUUACGUCUCUAAGAUGUCUUUUGCCGUGUCACAUAACAGGAUCAUGGGUGUUACUCCAGGAGAUGAAGACUUCUGAAGAUGGGCAGUGCUCUGGCCACCACACCCAGCUGUACCAUGGUGCUACCAUUUGUCUUCGUGUUGCCUAAUAGCUUACACUUGAAGCAACGUGUGUGGAGGAAGGUGAUCUGUUCAAAGAGUGUCAGCAUUGUGGUGGAAUUUGACACUUAUGACAACUCCGUUUUAUUUUUAAUCAAAUAUCCUCUGCAUGGAGGCAAAAUGAGCCUUUAAGGAAAGCUCUUAGAGAGUCUUCCAUUCAUCUUUCAAGGUUAUCAGCAUGCGAACGGCUUCCUUAUGCCUCUAAAGAUUUUGGCAGCACUGCUAACUUGACCUAGAUAGGAGGACAAACUUGAAAGAGUAAGAAAAUUCCACUGAGGGUGUGUAUACUAUUCAUAAGUCCUUUUUUUUCUUUCCUUGGCCUGAGCAUCCUUGUAUUUACUAUGUUUUUUAACAGAGUCAUGCCAUUCCACAAAAAGUAUAAAAUCCUAUUUCAAGGCAUGGA